rnacentral:tmRNA from 1 species
GGGGGCGCACUGGUUUCGACUGGAUGAAUGCGCCGGCGAUUGCAUGCCGAGGAUGAUCCGUUGGCCUCGUUAAUCUCCGGGUCAAAAAAUCAACUGCUAACGAAGAAUUAGCUCUCGCGGCCUAAGUGCCCCGACGUUCGCCACUGGACACCGGCUACGGUGGAUGAACGCAACAGCCGGUUGGGUCGAUGCCGGAGGCGGCGCGUCAUCGGCCGAGACUUUUUCAUGCUGUCUGGACCGGUCGUAUCGCGUCGGAGCGUUAGCGGCAGGUCGAGAACUCUCCUCCGACUAAGCAUGUAGAGGUUGCCGGUAGGUUUGUUCAGGACGCGGGUUCGAUUCCCGCCGCCUCCACCA